UGGGGAAUAUUGGACAAUGGGCGAAAGCCUGAUCCAGCCAUGCCGCGUGUGUGAAGAAGGUCUUCGGAUUGUAAAGCACUUUAAGUUGGGAGGAAGGGCAGUUACUUAAUACGUGAUUGUUUUGACGUUACCGACAGAAUAAGCACCGGCUAACUCUGUGCCAGCAGCCGCGGUAAUACAGAGGGUGCAAGCGUUAAUCGGAAUUACUGGGCGUAAAGCGCGCGUAGGUGGUUAGUUAAGUUGGAUGUGAAAUCCCCGGGCUCAACCUGGGAACUGCAUUCAAAACUGACUGACUAGAGUAUGGUAGAGGGUGGUGGAAUUUCCUGUGUAGCGGUGAAAUGCGUAGAUAUAGGAAGGAACACCAGUGGCGAAGGCGACCACCUGGACUGAUACUGACACUGAGGUGCGAAAGCGUGGGGAGCAAACAGGAUUAGAUACCCGNGUAGUCCCUGAGCGGGCUGGCAAGGCGCAU
rnacentral:rRNA from 1 species